GAGCCAACAAGAGGAAGGUACCAUAAAAUAUUCAUUAGAUGUGUAAAUCGUGUUGUUAUAAGCAAUUCUUUUUUUUUUGGGUGAUUCAGGUUUCGUCUGUGUGGUCUUUCAGUUCCCACGCAUUUCAGCUAUGCAAUCCUUUCAUGUUAAACAAUUUGGACUAUUCGGAAAUUAUUUUGCAAUGUUACUCAUAAAUGGUGUGUGCACGCAGGGGGUAUCUCAGGUACUUUGAGACACACUCUAACACAGGGCCAAACACCCAACCCUGUCUCUUAUUUAGUGUCUAUCCUGUGUUUGAGUUAGUUUGUUAAUUGAUUGAACAUAUAGAUCAUGAUAUUUGGCAAUAUGAUUGGUUACCUCUAUGUUUAAAAAAAAAAAAAAAUAUUCUGCAAUUUAAUGAAAAGUUGAACGUUUUUAAUAUCAAUAUUCUUUAUGAUUUUGUAUGUUAACAAUUUUUUCUAUUUAAAUGUUAACUUUUGCUACAAACAUACGAUUAGGUUUUUUGUUACAAAUAUACGAUUAGGUUUUUCGUUACAAAUAUGUGAUUCGUUUUUUUUGUUCCAAAUUUACGAUUAUUUUUUUUUUUUUUGUUACAUAAUUAAAUACUAGAGUGAUUCUUUCUUUCACCUGUUUCGGUUAUUCUUGUCCAAAUUCCAACUGAUUAUUUCCAAUCAGCUCCUCCCUACUCUUUAGCCCUUGUAAUCCUGGUUUAAACAUGCGCAACAAAUCAGACUCAGUAGAAUGAGACUCUCCAGGUUAACCAAUCUAUUACCUGGAGUGGGCCAAUCUGAAGACUGAUAAUUUGUUGAAAUCUGCAAAAAUGAAAUAUAUGGAUCCUUAAAUCAUUUGUAUCUUUGUAAUUCUGGAUUGGUUGUCCAUGUAUAUAUAUAUAUAUUUUAAUGAGAUUUCUAUACCAUGCAUUAAAAAAAACUAAUGUAUCAAUUCCAAAAUGCCUCUUUAGUGAAGCCUUGCCAAGUGUAGAAAGUUUAGCUAGUUACCAAACCUUUGUAAGCUACGUUGGAACAUCUUUUGUUCAAUGUUCUGCUGCCAACUUGGAUUUCCGUUAAUUGAGUUUGCCCUUGACACUAAUCUGCUUUUUAACUUUGAAAGUCACGGUUUAUAAAAGGAAGCAAAUUUAAGGGGGUUUUAUCAAAACACCUCAUUAAUGAGUUUACCUCUGCAGCUUCUAUGGCGAGGGAGCAAAAGUUUGUAAAGAAUCAAGCAUUAAAGGUCAGGCAUCUCCAGAGCACAUGGUCAAUGCAUCUGUUGUUAAUACCUAAAAUAGCCCAGACCUUUGUUCAGAGAAGCAACCUGGGAAAGGGGAAGGAAAUAAACAACCAUGUCAGGGAAAAAAGUUUUCCGAUAAAGAAUUAUAUACAUCUAGCUCUAAAGCUUCUUUAUUAUGCAAUUAUCAUACAGUUUCUAGGCAGCAGGGCUAUUAAAAGGCAAAGACUGGGACACAAAUGGAAGUGGCGCACAAAAACAUGCUUUCGUGCCUGAGGGUGAGGAACAAAAUUUCAUAUUUGUAAUGAUACAUAUAACAAUAAACAAGAAUAAUUGGUUGACUGCUAGAAUAUCUGAAAUUUUAAGAAAUAUUUCACUUUGGACUAAAAUUAUCAUCUUAUAUCUCGACUCACACUGUUUCUUUAUGUUGGCCAGCGCAUCUAAAGUUCUGACCUAAGACUUUUUAUACUCUGAAUUUUCUGCCAUUUUUUCCAUUAAAGGGACACGUCAAGCACCAUAACCACUACAUCCUAGUGCAGUGGUUAUAGUUCCAGGAGAGGCCUGGUACCAUCUUAAUGUUUACUAUGAGACUGUUAUGUCAUGGUUUGACCCUAACAUGAGUCCAGCUGGGUGCCAUGCUGAUUUUUAAGACAACAAGAACACAUUCAACAUUGGCAUUGGUUCUUCAGCUCAAGAAAAACUGUUAUGACCAAGGUAAAUGUCAAACGGUGCUAAAACAGUUUCGCCCUGGCAGCAUGACCACUACAGUGAUCUUCUUUUACUCCGAAUACUCUCUCUAGUUAUUCACAAAAUCUUGGGCUGGAGUGAAUUAAUCUGAAUAACAACAUUUAGGCAAAAUUAACUGACCUGGAAAUUUUCUGCAACUCAAAUAUAGUCAAAGCUUGGUUAUUGUGCCUAAAUGUAGAUUUCACUUCACCAAAAUUCAGUUUAGUCAGUAACCUUGUUAAACAAGCAAUUUCUCAAUACUCACCUGAUGAGGCAUCUAUAUCUCAGUGUUUCAGAACCAUACCUCAAUGUCUGUUCUUCUGUUGGUCUGCCGUCCAUGAAACCAAGGACAUAUUUCUUACUCUUUGAAGGCAUGUGGAUAACUGGGAAAAAUUUGUCUAAAGGAAUACUGUGGAGUAAUAAGUAGCAAAAUAAAUGAAAAUGGAACAAAUGACACCUUUUCUCCAGCUUCAGCCCUUUAUAGUCCCUGUCACUACACUAGAGCCCCUGUCACCCCGCUAUACCCACUAUCCUCCCACUACAGCCCCUAUUCACCCGCUGUGAUGCCACUACAGCACAUGUCAUCCAACUAUACCGACUAUCCACCCCACAACAGUCCUAUUCUCCCACCACUGCCCAAACUCUCACUACAGCUCUAUUCCACCACUAUACCUACUAUCUCCACUAAAUCCCUUUUACCCCCACUUUUGUCACUAACCACCCCUAAAGUCACUUUUCCUCCACUACAGCCCCAAAUGCAACACAACAAGCAGCCACCCCCAGACACACCACCAAUAAGCAGCAUUCCCACAAACAUACUCGCUCUUUUAACCCACUUAUCAUCCAACCGCUCACCUGGUCACAUUCACCAAAGGUAGGGAUGAGAUUUAAAGGUAGGGAUGAUGAGAUUUUCCUAAUAUUUCCUAUAUACUUCAUUUAAAAAAAUAUAUAUUUCCUUUCAAAACUUUAUGAAAGGAUUAUUAUAUAAAAGUGAAGUGACAGAUGUCCUUUAAGAUCGACAGGGUUAUAUAGAGAUGCCUGCAUCAAGUAUGUGGGACAUCCCAUGAUGGCACAAGGUCUUUAAGGACCAAAGUGUGAUGUUUGCCAAGAAUGCUCUUGGUCCUCAAGGGGUUAAAUGAUUGAUUUAUAAAAUGAUGAUAUGAAAUACAAUUCCAAUUAAUGAAACUGAGGCUGGAAAUCACCUAGGAUUAACACAUCAGACAGAAAUAUUUAAAAAAUGCUCUUAGCUAAGGGAAGUGCAUUGAGUUUUUGUGUUAUAGCGCUAUUUAAAUUAUGUGUCCUUCCUGUAUUCCUCCAGCCGAUCCUGGAUGGCUUUUGUUUGAAAUGAGAGAAGAGAUUAAGUCCUUGAACAUAAAUAGCCCAUGCUUACAUCCUUAAUUCUGAGAAUGAGCUCUAAUCUAGGGGGACGGGGAUAUUAAAUAAGUUUCUCGAGAGCCAUCAUUAACUUGCCAAAGGCUUAGUAUUAGCUUAUUAAAGUUGGAUACUUGAAUGCUAUUUCCUUAGUAUUUACUUGAAACCCAGAGGUGUCCACAUCCAUGAGAGACUGAGAUAAGCUGACCCUUUUGUUAUAAAAGUAUACAUUAAUCAAUGUUCCUAUUGGCAUGCUUUGUGCUAAUGUAUGGUGCCAAGCUUUUAAGUUGUGGCAAAUAAGUUCUAAUGAGUACGACUAUUUGUUGACAUUCAUCGACAAGUUCUGUCUUCAUACAGUUCUGCAUGUCUCAUUUUCCCCAUCCACGCUAUGUCCUAAAUAUAAAGUUUUCAAUAUUACUUUUUCUGGAAGAGAGGCAAAGACGUGAAGCAGAGCUACCUGUGAUCUAAUUCCCAGUGCAAAAAGGCACCAGUCUCACGUGUCUCUUGUGUUAGCAGUAUCUUCUACUUAAUAAACAAAUUAAUCUUUGGUAACAUCUGUCAGGGUCCCUUCUGUGGUGACCAGGGUUGUCCCCCAUGGUACUCACCUUUCACAUGAUGUUGCAUGUCCCCUUCAGCUCUCCUCUUCCUUUUCCAGCCGUUUUCACGCCAGCCGCAAUAGCUCGACCCCUUUUUAUGACACGGAAAGGGGUCGUCGACAUCAUGACGCUAAUGAUGUCACAUGCCGCCAAAACGUUCGGAUUAUGAUGUUUUGGGGGCGUGGCUACCAUCCUUACACGCCACAGUAUAAAAAGGAUUCAAAGGGCUAGGUUCAUUGCCCUGUUGUGGUUCAUUUUUUGUUCCCAAUAGUGCUAUUCAGUAUUCUGUAUCUCAGCUUUUGAUCUUGGGUUCGUUUGUGACUAUUCUACAUUCUAUACUCCUUGACCCGGCUUUGGCUCACUUGCUUAUGUUGAUUUCUGUACUCCUUGAUCUCGGCUUGAAUUUAACUAUCCCUUGUGUUUAUACGUUAGUCCGGCCAUUCUAAGGUCCGGUAUACGUUACCCCUUAUCUACAUUGUGCGUGUUGGAUCUCAAACCAUUCCUGACACCACCUGAGCAAAGAAGAAUAGUUCAGGACUAUCAGGUCAUCAAGUCACUACCUUGAGUGUAAUGUUGAAACUGUUGGUUUUUAAUUUGCAUUAAGAAUUGGGACCUAAUUGUUUAUAAAGAAGACAUGACAUUUAAAAAAAUAUAUCCUCCUGAGACCCAGCCCAUUAAACUGUGUCCUCUGUACAGGACAUUUAGUUCACAUGCAUCUCCUUUUUUUAUUUGAACUACUCUAUCAAUCUCUGGUGCACUGUAAAGAGGACAUCCUGGGCUUUCCAGUGAUAUGUCAUAUGAUGGGCUGGGAUGCUGAAAACGUCCUCUUCUUUUUCAUCAAAAAUGGAUGGCAUAUUGGAAGACAAUUUUUUUCUUCGGUUCUAUAUAAUAUAUAUAUAUAUAUAUAUAUAUAUAUAUAUAUAUAUAUAUAUGUUUGUAUGGGAAUAUUGAACAAGCCCCCUCCAACACUUUUAUAUUAUGAUUUUAAUAACUGGUAUGCAAACAGUGCAGCUAAAAAAUAUUCUUUAAUUGAUUUUCCAUAUGUUUAGUACACACUUUAUGCCCAAAAAAUGGUAUUUAGAGUUGGCUGUUUUUUUCAUGCAGAAGAAUAUCCAUCAAAAAUGCAAUCAUUAUUAUUAUUAUUAUUGCCAUUUAUAUAGCCCCAACAUAUUCUGUAGUGCUUUACAAUAUUAUGAGAGGGGGAUUUAACUAUAAAUAGGACAAUUACAAGAAUACUUACAGGAACGAUAGGUUGAAGAGGACCCUGCUCAAACAAGCUUACAGUCUAUAGGAGGUGGUGUAUAAAACACAAUAGGACCGGAAAUAGCAAUCAAAUAAGGUGAGAGUGAAGCAGAGCUGGAGGAGAGAGUAGUGCUGCCCUUUAGGAGAGAGCAAGAGACAGGUAUGUAAGGUAGAGGUUACUCUGGGAGGCCAUAAGCUUUCCUAAAGAGAUGGGUUUUAAGGCACUUCUUAAAGGAUUGAAGACUAGGGGAGAGUCUGAUGGCAGUAGGCAGGCUAUUCCAUAGGAAGGGAGCUGCCCGUAAGAAGUGCGAGUUGGCCGUACGGGUGCGAGCAGCGUUCAGGAGGUGGUCAAGGGCAGAGCGGAGAGACAGAGAAGGGACAUACCUAUGGAUCUGUGAAGAGAUAUAAGAGGGGCUAGAAUUGUUCAGUGCUUUAUAUGUAUGGGUUAGCACUUUGAAUUGACUCCUAUAGGAUACCAGGAAGCCAAUGUAAGGACUGACAGAAGGGUGAGGUGUGAGAGGUCAUGAUUUCAUCCGUGAGCUUUCUUCGUAGUUCUCCACAAAGUGCAGUAAUUACUUCCAAAAACACAGGGGCCAUUCGCUGAAUUUGUAGCAAAAAUUGAACAAAAGUAAUGGGAUCGCCUAGAACUUCAAGCUGUAAGAAAAGUGGAUUAGCAAGAACCCAUUUGUUAUACCACUGUGCCCAACCAGUGUUCCAUGGCUUAUAUUUCUCUUAGUCCUGCACUAGACAACCUUGCUGUUGAUUGCUUCAUUUGCCCAUUGAGAGCCCAUUUGAAAUACCCGUGUACCCAACCUUACACAGAGCGCCACAUUGCACAAUUCAUAUCAACAGCAUUAUACUGAAAGGAACUGAACAGCCUCUUGAGAAGGGUAGUGCGUCCUGUCAAGCAAUAUGUUACCAGCUCAAGAAACAAAUGAUUUCUUAAUAAAAGUGAUUUUUAAAAAAAUCUCUUUUUAAGUUGGCUAUUUAUUCAUUUUUUACAAGUGACAGGCCUUUAAAAAUGAUCUAUCAUUUUCCUUUUACCAACAAUGAAUAAAAAGGUGAUCAUGUAAAAUACUAUUAUCUUACCAGAUAAUUUACAAUUUACUACACAACACUGGAAUGCUUCGUACACACCACCAAAAACGCAGAGGUGCUGCUGGGAGGAGGCUGAGCUGGACCGCAGCCCAAAAUAGGGUCUUGAUAAGCUGUUCUAAUUUUAGCAACCAUUCUUGAGUCAAUGUAUGUGUAAAGGGCACGUUAAAUGUCCUUUUGCUACCUAGUAACACUUGAGUAAAAAUGUGAUUAUAAAUUGCUUUAGAGAAAUGUGAAGUCUUGCCAUUACAAUAUUGUUUUGAUAUAUUUUCCCUCAGGCUUCUGGAAUCAACGUGCUCUAAAAUGAAGCAGCCAUCUUGCUUUGUAGCAGCCAUCUUACUUUGCUAACACAUGGUUAUGAUAAAUAUAGGGCCUUUAUACUUCCUAAGUAUCCAUUUUUAGAUACAGUUAAUCUUUGAACCCAAAUCUCUUUUUCAUGCCGUGGUGUCCACGGUUGGUUAAUAAAUUUUGUUUUGCGUGAGAGCGUGACACAUUAAACUCAUAUACAUUUGUGCUUAAAAGCUCAUUAAUGUAUAAAUAGAAUUAGAUCUUACAUUCAAGAGUACAUUUAGAGUACUUAAAACAUAUAGGUAAACAUUAUUAAACAUGUGAGGUCUUACUUUUAUUGACCCAAGGAUUGUGCACACAGGUGGUUGCCAUUAGUUUAAGCUCAUUGUGAGUUUUCUGGUCACUGAUCCAGAUUUGCAAAUUAACAGUACACCAUCUGAUUGUAACACCUAGAAGCAUUAACUCCAAAUGGGAUAUUUUUUAUUUAAACCUCUCUACUUCCUUGUAGCUUUAAAUAACUUUGUUUUGAUUUGUAGCUAACAUAUCUAACACUAAACUAGCCAAACUGCAAUUAUAGAAAGGGAAUCCAAGGAAGCAGUGCUUUCACAAGUGUCUUCAACUCAAAUAAAGAUGGUACGAUAUGUAAAACAAGAGGAGAAAUAAAACGGAAUAUGGUGUAGUAUUUUCGAUGCUGGUGAUUAUAAAUAAAAGAAAGUAAAUACACUUAUGAUCUUCUAGAGCUUGAAAUCAGUCCCAGAUACGCACUUUUACAGUAAAAUCUCUGUCUGUGGAUAUACUGAUCUUGGUCUUGGUCUUAAGUGGAAAUGUUUCCUCAGGCCGGUCAGCAGCGUGUGGUGGUCAGCUUCAUAGAAGUGGUCUCUUUUAACAUUCUGCUUUGUCACAGUGAGAGUUCACCAGUGUAUACAAUGAAAAUAAAAAACAGAAGAUAGUGCUUGCUCUCUGUAAGGCUAAAAAAAAUAUAUAAAAUAAUAAAAGGAGGUAUACUCACCAACGGAGAGCACAGUAAAGUUAUGAUCAAUCCUACACAGUUUAGGUGGUAUCCCCAUCUAGGAAACCGAAGUAUGACUCCUACAGGUAAAAAUCUUCAGAGAUAAAAACAAGAACGUCCAAAUUUCGAUAAAAAAUUGUUUUAUUUAUAACCAAAAUAAUAAAACCAAAAAUAUAGUAUAAAACACUAACGCAUUUCACCUUCACUCAGGCUUUUUCAAAGUGUUGUGCAAUUAUAGCCUACACAUAAUUUGAUAGUAUUAUCAGGUAUUUUUAAUAUUGCAGUUGAAGUUGAUAUUUGAUUCAGAGACACCUUGAUUUCCAUGGAUGUUGUAUUGUAAGAUUAGCCAGCACUAAACGUCAAUCUAACAUCUCAUUUUUUUCCUUCUCCAUCCUGUCUGCAACUUCAGUUUAACUUUUCAAGCUAUAUUAGAUUUGAAACGGUUUACCAAAAUAAAACAAUGCUGAUAUAUGUGCUUAAUCCUACUGGUGAUGGAGAGAAAGGGUGAUAGGAAACGCAGGUAGAAAAAUUAAUUUCACUAAAAAAUAUAUUAAUUUUGCGUAUGAGACUAUUCAGUUAGUUGAUGCACUAAACUAACUACUAGUAUCUACUAAAACCCAACAACAGGUUAAAUUCCAUUAGGUUUUAGGCCUAAAUCAAAUCAAUAUAAUGAAUGCUAUUUAUCUGGUUAAUAAUAAUAUUUAAAGCUCAAGAUAUAUAUAUGGGAUCAAUGUGUCUUGUGGGGAAGAAGGUUUUGAAUAUUUUUUUUUAAAUUCAUUAUUUAGUAAAGUUUACACCCCUGAUGGUGAUUAUCUAUGAACUGUAAAAAUAACAUUGCAACAAGUUAGAGAAAGUGCAAAAGUACAAUAAUUGUCAUGUAAGAAAAAUCGUAAAAUUAGGAUCAAAAAAAGGAGGAAGUGACUGAUGCCAUCCAACCAAGAAACAUUGGGAGAGUUUGCGACAUUUGUGCCAUUAGGAGCUUAUUCUCUUUGAGUGAAAUCUCAGAUUAAGAUCAGUUUUUUUUAUUGUUUUUUUUUUUUUUUUUCCAUUUUAUAGUUUUGUUGAAGCAGUUAUUUUCUGAUUUGUUGUUACAACUGGAACCAUUGUUCGUUGAUUGAUAACCUUGGGAACUUUUUCGCUGCCCGUUUGUGCAUGACAGGUGAUUGUCAGACACAGAUCCUGAUAUUGUAAAGUGGCUUUCACAAUUCUUCUUGUUAGAAUGCCCACAAAAAUGGAAUUUCCUGCUCUUGCUGGCAUAGUGGAAACAAGACAAUUACAUAGAACUGCUCCCAAGGGGCCACGAUAGUAUGUCGAAAAGAAUUAUCCAACGUUUGUUACAUCCUCAAGGAGUCUAUUUUAGCCCUCUCAAAAGGGUAGAAUGGAGCGUAGUUCUCCAAAUCUAUUUCUGGUAUUUCAUACCCCCCCCUUCUGUUUCUUUCUGUCUCUCUCUUUUUUUCAAGGUCUCUAACAUGUUGACGGAAAUGGUUUCAGUGGACAGAGCGAGCUUGCUAUUCAUAGGACGAACUUCCGGAGCGGUGCUUGUUCACUUGACGUUGUAUGUUUCUUUAGCGUUCCAUACCAGAAAGAGAACUGGAACAUUUUAGAUCAAGUAGAUAAGAACAAGCCAUUCAUUUUUUAAGCUGUCUGGUUGACAGUUUGACCUCUGGAGUGAACAUCUAUGUAAAAGUGUUACUUCAACCUUUUAAAAAAAUUUUUGGUUUAGAAUGCCCUACAAUUGGACAUUACCAUUAGGUCCACCCCUCAAAUAAACCCUGUACAAUGAAGAUACACUUACCUGGAAUCCAGUUCCUUGUGAAACUUCCCAUACUGACAUCACCACUGACUGCUUGUGGUCCAACCACAUGCCUCUCAAAUAGAACCAUUUGUUUGAACUGUUCCUCCAGCUCAAAGUGUAUGCACAAGCUCACAGAAGUGACCUAAGGCAGUCCAGAACAAAGUUCUGGGCAUGCUAAAUCAUGUGUGCCAGAGAUGCAACUAGCCCUCAGCACAAAAGUGCAGAUGUCUCAGUAUGUGCAAUGUUAUUAGGAGAAACGCUGCACAUACAGACUCCUACCACCAUGACUACUUCUAAAUGCAGAGGUGAUCAUGUUGGUAUGAGUAACCCUUUAAUAGUAUUAUUUUUAUUAGAAUUUAUAUAAUGCCAGCAUAUUACAUAGAGCUUUAAAAUUUUGAUGUAUUGAUAUAACAGCAAAUAAGGUAAACAAAUGAGGCGAUCAAGAAGUUAAAGGGAAACUAUAGUCACCAAAACAACUUUAGCGCGAUGAAGCAGUUUUGAUAUAUAGAUGGUGCCCUUGCAGUCUCACUAUUCGAGUCUCUACCAUUUAUGAGUUAAAUCACUUUGUUUAUGCAGCCGUAGUUUCACCUCCCUGCAUUUGACUUAAACAGCCUCCCUAAACACUUCCUGUAAAUAGUCAUCUAAUGUUUACACUUCCUUUAUUGAAAAUCCAGUUUAAUUUAGAAUUUUUUUGUCUCCUGAUCUGUUGAUAGCCUUCUAGACCUUGCAGGAGCCACCAGUGCGUGAUUAAGGUUCAAUUUACAGAGCAAGAGAUAAAAACUUUUAAAUUAAGUUACAUUUGAUUGGAAGUUAAAUCAUUUUAUUUUCAUGCAGGCUGUGUCAGGGGAGGUGUGGCUAGAGCUGCAUAAACAGAAACAAAAUGGUUUAAAGGAUCACUAUAGGGUUAGGAACACAAACAUGUAUUCCUGACCCUAUAGUGUUAAAACCACCAUCUAGCCCCCCGGGGCCCCUCAUGCCUCCCUAAAUAUAGCAAAAUCUUACUGUAUUCAAGCCAGAAGCUGUAACUCUGCAUGCUGUUUACCUAAAAAAAACAAAAAACAAGCAGUCUGCUGACAUCAUCAGAAUUAGUAGCCUGAUCCAAUCACAAUGCUUCCCCAUAGGAUUGGCUAAGACUGACAAGGAGCAGAUCAGGGGCAGAGCCAGCAUGAUUCAAACACAGCCCUGGCCAAUCAGCAUCUCCUCAUAGAGAUUAAUUGAAUCAAUGAAUGAAAAUACAUUUAAAAAAAAAGAUAUAUUAAUUCUGUAUCCUCCCCCUCCCUACCUCUUACCUUUGGUGAAGGAGGGGGGGGGGGGACACAGCCAUCCCCGGUGAUCUGAUGGUGGUAAGUAUGUUUCUCGCAGCUAGGAAGCAGCCCUUCUCCUGUCCUCCUGCACGAUGCUGGGUGGAGCAUUGCCAUGGUAACGCGCGGCAAUGCUCCGCACAGCAUUGCACGGGAGGACAGGAGAGCUGCUUCCUAGAGCCCUCCCCCUGUCCUUCCAACACGGAAGCAGAGUAGGCGCCUGCCGUUUUGGGCAGGCAGGUGCCUACUCUGCAGACAGCCAGCGGCCCCCUCUCCCGGCGACUUAUGGCUGCGUGCCAACAGAGAGGGCCCAGCGUGCCACAGGUUUGCCAUCACUGAUCUAAAUCAUUAAUUUGUAAUUUUUGGUUCUAUGCCAUACUCACCCCAUCUACCACUGUCUACCACAUCAUCUGAAUCCAAUACUGCAAAUUUCUAACAGUAGAACCUUUAAUCCAAAAACAAAACCCUAUAAAUUAACUGCGCCCAAUCCCAAAUCCCUGGUAUUGAGAUGGCUAUCAAAGUGUAAACUCACUUGCUGGAUUACAUUUUUGGAUUUUGUUUUAUGCAUUUGGGCUGAUGUAUACUAUAGUCAUUGUGGCUGUCCAAGAGUAGUGGGAUUUUAGAGUGCAGGACUUUUUUCUGUGUGUUUUGUUUGCUUUUGUUAUACACAGUUGUUUUACAGUGUUGCCACUCACCCCAUGUGUGCCCUUUAAGGAUUUAAUUAAUUUAUAGAGAUUCAGAAAAAUACCCUUUUCUGACUCACAAAAAGAUGAAAAAUAUACCACAAGAGGACAUAGUCUUAAAUUAGAGGGACAAAGGUUUAAAAAUAAUAUCAGGAAGUAUUACUUUACUGAGAGGGUAGUGGAUGCAUGGAAUAGCCUUCCAGCUGAAGUGGUAGAGGUUAACACAGUAAAGGAGUUUAGGCAUGCGUGGGAUAGGCAUAGGGCUAUCCUAACUAUAAGAUAAGGCCAGGGAAAGUAUUUAGAAAAUUGGGCAGACUAGAUGGGCCGAAUGGUUCUUAUCUGCCGUCACAUUAUAUGUUUCUAUGUUAGAGUAGGAAUCACCUACUCAAGAGGUUUGCCUUGACUCAGCUGUUGAGCUAAAACUUUAAUGGCCAUUGUGUUGGUACAGUAGUAGUAUACAAUCCCGCUCUGAUUACCACUAACCUCGAUAAGCCUGUGUUCCUAAAUAUUACUUAUUAAAUCUGUCUUUGUUCUCGUGACUGUGGAAGUAACUCAGUAGUGCAUUACACUAUUUAAAUGCCAACUUCACUAUGAUCAAACCCAUGUGAGCAGGGACGGAAAGCGAGAGUAUUACACACAAUCACUUAUGACAUUUCGCGAUGGCCUUGUAUAGCCCCCCUCCUCGUCGUUUAAGCAGCUGCAAAUGACCUAACAGGAAAAAACACUUCUCUGCUUCAAUGUAUACAGCGUGGCAAACAAUAACGCUACAAAGGAACAAAAGGAAGUAAAUAAGACGAAAGCCGGCGGCUUUGCAGAGAUAGAUAGGGUCUGGACGCAGGUGAAAAAAAUAAUCCAUGCUUGCACAAUAUCCUGGGAUGCUGUUUACCGCUAGGAACAUUUACGAGACUCUCUCGUGCCAGGAGGGUUUUAGAGAUAUUCAAGGUUUUUUUCACUUCUUACUAUCCCCUGUGCAGGCUCAUUACAGGUGGAAUGUACAUCCAAGAAGGCCCUUGUGCCAAAAUACAGCGCAAGGGGAAUCCUAGACACAGACAGUGGACACAAUAUUGCUGUAUGAAUACCAGACAGCAUUCUUAUACAGCAUCCCCAGGCAUGGUUGAUGGAAAUGAUUUGUGCUUUAGAUGUAGCAUGGACAGGGGACUAAAUUCCUCACGGCUGCCAAACGGAAUCUCUGUGGAUGGCAAUUGUAAAAGCCAAGAAAAACAACCAGCUCUUUUUUUAAGGGUGUGUUGGUAGAAAUUCACAAUUAUGAUAAAUAAUUCUGAAGAAUCUACUUCUCGUUUUUUUUUACAUUUCAAUUUAGAACACUUUUUUCAUGUAAACUCUCUUUGAGACACUGUUACGUCUACGUGCUCAUCAGCUAAUUGUCACACACUUUGCCGGUUGGUGUGCUGGUCUUGUUAUUUGCAAUGCUUUCAUGAAAAUUAGGAGAUAUUUUUUUUUUGGGUUGUAGAUAGAAUUGUGACAUUUCUCCAUGGUUGGAUUUAUAUUAGAAAUAAGCAUUUAUAAUCACCAAUAUUACAGAGAUCCUUCAAAACGCUCCAAGGGGAAUAUUCUAAAUGUCAGUGGUGCCUUUUUUAAAUUCCUCAAAGGGAUACUCCAAGUGCCCUCUCCGCUAAAGAUUAUUCUAGUAUUUAUGGAGCUAAGAACCUAAAUCCGUUCUGGUUAAAGCCUUGCCAUUUUUGAAUUUUUUUCUUUGGCAUUUUGGAAAUGGGUUCCUAAAAUAAAAAUAAAAAAACAAAAAAAAUUAAAAGCAACUAAUAAAAAUAAACCCCACAGGAGCAAAAUGACGAAGACCCAUUUAUAUAUCCCUAAGGUCUGUAGCUCACAUAUAGUGUGUUUGGCUGGGCACAAAUUGAGCCAAUCGCAGUGCAGCACUGCAGUGUUUCCUUAGUCAACUCUCCAUAGACUUCAGUGCAUUUUAACAUGUGUUCUGUUCUGGUGAUUUGGUAUCUCGAUUCUUAAAGAACCAGUAAAGUUACCCUGUCAUUGUAACCCUUCAAUGUAAAACACUGCCAGUCUGUAGAAGCAGCAAUGUUUUAUUGAAAGGUUAAAUACACUUUUAGUGGCUGAUUUCCUGACAUCCACUAGAGGCGCUUUCUCCUCCUGGACCAAGUCAGCCUCCAGUCUGGAAUCAAGUACUGCAGAUAGUGGAAGAGUGUGGUGGAUAGUGGAAUAGUGUGGUGUUUGCUUGAGUGUACGUAUCUCCAAUUCAAUGCUUCUCUACGAGAAGCAUCAGAUUGGAUGAGAUUGCAAAAUAAAUCAAUAGGCACACUGCAAAGGAGUCUCAGCGCUGAAAACCGAUAUUUAACCUUUAUUUUUCAACAAAGGGAGAUAAACAGUGGUCACAAUAAUAGAAGGGAGCCUAAUUUUUAGAAAAAAAAACAAUUGUUGUUUUCGGGACUAUAGGUUCUCCCUUCAGGGCUCCUGCUAACAUAUCCACGGUCAAAUCAAUUACAGGUCAAAAAAUGUGUAAAUGCCAGUUUUAGCACCCGCAGCAUUUUUGCUGCAGUCAUGCUGUCCAUCCAACUGUACUCCAACUGUCACAGGACCAAAAUUACAAUCACUCUCAGCCAGUAUCUGCUGGAAAAAUAAGCAAAAGUCUAACCCCAACACUCCGCACUUACAAUGGUUCAAUUGUUUCUUUAAAUUAUUUUUUUUGCUUCAUUGUUCUGUAGUUAUUGCGAAUAUCAUGUGAUUAACUCUAUGCUCCCAAGAGGUGGGCUGCCCAACUUAUUGUUCAGUUCUCUGCCGCCCAAAAACAAAUCCUAACGAGGACAUUAAGAGCUGUUUUAGCAGUGACAAGGCAGUCCCGGCCCCCUGAUUACAUAAGCAGCGCGGUUACAAAUGAUGUUUGCUUCGGUUUAUCUCGUGACUUCUUUUAUCUCUCGUCACAGGCAACACGCUUUCCUCUAAAAACGGAUUCUUGGCUCAGGCUAAAUUUCAACAAGUAGGACAGGGAAAGGCAACAGGAUAAGAGGCCGCCGCUGGCAGGAAGUUUAAAACUGGAGUGUUUGGGUUUUAUUUAUUAAUAAGAACCUGUGUGCUAGCAGCUGUAAAUAAAGUGAAUAUAGGUAAAAAAAAAAAAGAAGGUAAGAAAGUAAGUAAGAAAUAAGGUACCUACACACACAAUGUGCUAUAAGUUUGGCUGGAGCUACUAUGGGAUAAAAUAAUGUAAUCAAUCACAUGGCUAUAUCAGGUUCUGGACCUGUAUUACAACUUAUGAAUAAUGUACGAGCAGUAGAAAAAGAAGGGAGAAAAAAACGCCCAAACUGUGAAAAUAAAUUUAACGUGAAGAAUAGUGAUGUCCCGAACGGUUCGCUGAACGGUUCGCCACGAACGGUUCCACACAGACUCAUCAUUGAGUAAACUGUGACCCUGUACCUCACAGUCAGCAGACACAUUCAAGCCAAUCAGCAGCAGACCCUCCCUCCCAGACCCUACCACCUCCUGGACAGCAUCCAUUUUACAUUCAUUGUGAAGCUGCAUUCUUAGUGAGCUGCCCAGGAGGUGGGAGGGUCUGGGAGGGGGGGUCUGCUGCUGAUUGGCUGGAAUGUGUCUGCUGACUGUGAGGUACAGGGUCAAAGUUUACUCAAUGAUGAGCCCGCGGCGAACCGUUCGUGACAAACCGUUUGCGAACCGUUCGGCGAACCGUUCGGGACAUCACUAGUGAAGAAUCUUUAUUGCUUCAUUUAAAAUAAAGCGGCAAUGAGACGCAAAACGCGUAACUGCAUUGUGCUGGUGCCUUAAAUGAAGCUGGUGCUUGAUUUUAAGUCUAUUUGUACAGUUUGGGCGUUUUUUCUCUCCCUGGUUUUUCGGCUGUUUCUACAUUGGAACUCACACAAACACAGCUCAUUAUAUAUUAGUGUCCUGAUUAAGACAUGCACCUUGUAACCCCUCCAGCCUCAGAGUGGCUGCUUCACCCUCAAUGACACAAUUGGCAUCCCACAAUUCCUAGCAUUUGUAGCUGAAAUUAUAAAUAAUGUCAGGGAAACUGGACAAUCGCGUUUACUCCGAACUAUGUUCUUCUUCACCAGUUUUGUUUUCAGGUUGGCUAAUUUAGCCUAAAAUUUUAAUUCACAUUUAAAAUCACUUUGAAUUCCCUAUAAUUCAAACUUUAGUGAAUUAUCUUUUUAUACACAAAAUACAAAAGGAAAUCCGCGCUAAUAUAACAAACAAUAUGUAGGUAGGCAGCAACCCAAUCAAAGGAGACCCCUCAAAUCCUUCAACAUAUGAGAAAAUACAAAGAAAUGGGGAAGGGCUGCGCCAGCAGGAAAGUAAAAUAAAAUAACGUUAAAAAAGUCCAAUAAGAGUCUCACUAGAGUAACAGUACUUGGUGGAAUGUAGAUGAGUAGACUUUAAAGUAGAAAUGGGGACGCCCUAUUGUCUCAGAGUAUUCACAUAUAUGAAAAACAAAGAGACAGGGGCAGCCAGUAGUGCAGUACGUCUAAAAUCCAACGAGUAAAUUAGUAGUAGAAGGUAAAUAACUCACAUUUAAAAGAGCUAUGGCCAGCUCUGGUGUGAAGGGUGUACAGUGAUAUAAUCCUCGCUGUUAGGAUAUGUGGAGGGAGUGCGUCUGGUCAUCAAAAGCUCCAAAGGGAAAUAAAAGAGGCGACAAUAGUGCUCUCAAAUGGGUAAGUGAGUGACUAAAGGUAACUAAAAUAAUACUCACAGAUAUAGAGCAGGAACACUGCUCUAUUUGUAACGCAUUGGUGGUAUGAUUCCCACCUGGCCUUUCUUUUAGUGCAGGAACAGUAGUAAAAAGCCAGGAAAGUAAAACUAUUAAAAGUGCAUAAAAAUACAAUAAAAAGAGAAUUGGCACAGUAAAGUAGCCAAAAACCUUUAAUUGAUCUAAAGUACACAAUAUAAAUAACCAUUACGCGUUUCACCAUUAUAGGUUUUCUCAAAUGUCAUAACAAUUAUAUGUUUAAUAAUUUAUAUCUUUGUCUCUAACAACAACAACUGUGAUUUAUAUAUAUAUCAAAUAGCCCUGUCUGCAGCAAUACCUAUGUUAUGUACCACUCUCUCUGUUACAAUAACAAUGAUUAAUAGUUAUGUUUUGCAAAGAGUAAUAGUCACAUACAAGAACUGCUAAAAAAAAUAAUUAAACUAGUAAAAAAUGCAGAAAAAACAACAACUUUGCCGUAUGGAGUGAUGACCUAAUGAUCAUAUAUAUCACUCCUAAGUUUAUACUUUCUCUAGUAAAUAUGAUUUUCCAAAAUAAACAGAGAGAAGCAGCUGUGCCCUGAACCCAAUUUUUUAUCAGCUACUAAAUGCCUUAUCUCCUCUCCAUCCUUCAGAAACGAUAGCCUUGGCACUGCGAUCGGCCCAUUGUUCCAGCCGCAGAUGUGUUCUGUUUGUAAACACAGAUAUCCCGCUUGUGGCAUUGUUCAUUCAUCCAGCUGUGUUUUCAAUCCUCCCGUUUGUUUGUUACCUAUGGUCUUAAUUCACAAUCCGCAGGAAAUCUCCAGGACUGGCUUUCCUCCACACUCUGCACAACUGCCUGGUACGGAAAGGGUUAAUUCUAGGGCCUCGUGUUGCAGAGAAUACCAGAGACACUAGACUAUAUAUAGUAAAUCAUCUUUUAUGGAGGUAAAUAGAUUACAAACAAGGUCUGCAAAUUAAAUCAAGCAAUAUUAGGAAAAACUCCGUUGCUCAAUGUAAAUAAGCAGGAAAAUGCUCAAAUGGUUUUUGAUUGUGAAACCAAACUGCCGAAUUUUAGCUAAAAUAGCCACACUGUGACUAUAGCGAAUCAGGAAAUUCUAGAAUCAGACACUUUGGCCUGAAUUCUGCCAUUCAGAGUUUAGUAAAUAACUCCCUUAAGAUGUCAACUUACAUUAUGUAUAUAUAUAUAUAUAUAUAUAUAUAUAUAUAUAUAUAUAUAUAUAUAUAUAUAAAACACUAUGCUUGCAAUAUAUAUAUGUGUAUAUAUAUGUAUUUGUGCUCGGAAUUUCUAAUACGUAAUGGAAUGUAGAAGGAGAUGCAAAGUUGGUUGAGGUGUGCCGAAACCAACGUACGAGUAGGCCUGUAAUAAAAAGAGGGCCCACCAAGGUUAAAUGUAUAUAUAGAUGGGUGCAGGUGGGUGGGGACAAAUAGCUUGAAUGGCAAAGGUGAGUAGGGGGGUAGGAGUUUAAAUAGGGACCAUAACUCCUCCCACAAAUUCAGGCCAAAUGACUGUUUAACUUGUGCUCGAAAUUUCUAAUACGUAAUGGAAUGUAGAAGGAGAUGCAAAGUUGGUUGAGGUGUGCGGAAACCAACGUACGAGUAGGCCUGUAAUAAAAAGAGGGCAAAAAGAGGAUUCAAAGUAAACACACUUUAUUGCAAGUUACAACGCAAGAUUUAUGAAGGCUUCUAAAAGCUAUUUACUUUCUCUUUCCUUAGGUCCUAUACAGCCCCUACCAACCCUACCCAGGCCAGUCACGUCCAGGCUUCAGGAAUCCACCAUCUUGAGAUUUCAUGGUUACCACUAACUGCCCCCUCCUGAGUCAAACAAGAUCAGGAAAGAGGCUGGGAUUUCACAUGGAACAUCUACCAGAGAGAGAAGGGCUGCUGUAGGCCUCCAGGACAAGAUACCGAUUUAAAGGCCAGAGACUUAUCACUC
rnacentral:lncRNA from 1 species